rnacentral:rRNA from 1 species
GAGCCUGAGAACGGCUACUACCCCUACGGAAGGCAGCAGGCGCGUAAUUACCCAAUCUGACUCAGGGAGGUGGUGACAAGAUAUAACAACGCGGUUAUUAUCGCGAUUGUAGUGAGGGUAUUCUAAACAGAACCUAUAGUACGAUUAGAGGGCAAGUCUGGUGCCAGCAGCCGCGGUAAUUCCAGCUCUAAUAGCGUAUAUUAAAGUUGCUGCAGUUAAAAGCUCGUAGUUGGAUUUCAGGGAUUGUAGAACCUUUUUUUUUAUUCUUCCUACUAGUCUUCGGACUGUUACUGUGAGAAAAUUAGAGUGUUUCAAGCAGGCUCUCGCAAGAAUACAUUAGCAUGGAAUACGAACGUAUCUAGAAUCCUGGUAUCUAUACACAAAAAAAAGAAAGAGGGGGAUAGAUUAUGCAGAGGGAAUCUGGAUUUGUUUAUACUACGAUGCGAAGCAUUGGCAAGGAUGUUUCAUUAUCACGACGAAGAUAGGGGACCAAGACAUCAGAUCCUGUCGAGUCCUAUCCAUAACUAUGCGACUAGGAUCGGAGUGGCCCAACACCCAUUCCAGUACCCUAUGGAGAAUCAAGUCUUGGGUCUGGGGGAGCACGUCGCAGACUGAACCCAGACUCGACGAGGACCCCGAGUGGGCUGGGCCACGACCAACGGGACUACAGUCGACUGAGACUGAGACGAGCCCUCUGAUCCUGGGGGGGCUGGCGCCUAUGGGAGGAUGCGUAUCGUCAGACUACCGUACAAUCCAACCUGGCUAUCUUAGGACUGACUAACGAU